GGCUCCAUAGCUCAAUUGGAUAGAGCACGUCCCUUCUAAGGACGGGGUUCCAAGUUCGAUUCUUGGUGGAGUCACCA
rnacentral:tRNA from 1 species